rnacentral:rRNA from 1 species
GACGAACGCUGGCGGCGUGCUUAACACAUGCAAGUCGAACGGAAAGGCCCUGCUUUUGUGGGGUGCUCGAGUGGCGAACGGGUGAGUAACACGUGAGUAACCUGCCCUUGACUUUGGGAUAACUUCAGGAAACUGGGGCUAAUACCGGAUAGGAGCUCCUGCUGCAUGGUGGGGGUUGGAAAGUUUCGGCGGUUGGGGAUGGACUCGCGGCUUAUCAGCUUGUUGGUGGGGUAGUGGCUUACCAAGGCUUUGACGGGUAGCCGGCCUGAGAGGGUGACCGGCCACAUUGGGACUGAGAUACGGCCCAGUCUCCUACGGGAGGCAGCAGUGGGGAAUAUUGCACAAUGGGCUGAAGCCUGAUGCAGCAACGCCGCGUGCGGGAUGACGGCCUUCGGGUUGUAAACCGCUUUCGCCUGUGACGAAGCGUGAGUGACGGUAAUGGGUAAAGAAGCACCGGCUAACUACGUG